GCAAACUUGGUCAUUUAGAGGAAGUAAAAGUCGUAACAAGGUUUCCGUAGGUGAACCUGCGGAAGGAUCAUUAAUAAAUUUAUCCAUCUAUCUUAUUUUUGAUAUGGAUGAUUUAUAAAUCCAUAUUCACCUUGUGUCUCAUCUAUUGAAAUGUUUGCUUUGGCAGUGCAAAAAGUCUUGUGUUUGACACGCACAGGUUCCCGAAGCUGCCAGAGUUUCUUGUCACCAACACACACCUAAUACAAACAUAACAUCUAAUUUCUCAUUGUCUGAAAAUUAAAUAUAAUCUAAUAAUAAUAAUACAACUUUCAACAACGGAUCUCUUGGCUCUCGCAUCGAUGAAGAACGCAGC
rnacentral:misc_RNA from 1 species